GACGAACGCUGGCGGCGUGCUUAACACAUGCCAGUCGAACGGAAAGGCCCUGCUUGCAGGGUACUCGAGUGGCGAACGGGUGAGUAACACGUGGGUGAUCUGCCCUGCACUUCGGGAUAAGCCUGGGAAACUGGGUCUAAUACCGGAUAGGAGCCAUUUUUAGUGUGAAGGUUGGAAAGUUUUUUCGGUGUAGGAUGAGCUCGCGGCCUAUCAGAAUGUUGGUGGGGUAAUGGCCUACCAAGGCGGCGACGGGUAGCCGGCCGGAGAGGGUGGACGGCCACAUUGGGUCGGAGAGACGGCCCAGACACCUACGGGAGGCAGGCGGGGGGAGUAUUGCUCAAGGGACGCAAGCAUGAUGGAGCGGCGCAGCGUGGGGGAAGACGGCCUUCGGGUUGUAAACUCCUUUCUCUAGGGACGAAGCUUUUUGUGGCGGUACCUAGAUAAGAAGCACCGUCUAACUACG
rnacentral:rRNA from 1 species